rnacentral:rRNA from 1 species
CGAACGCUUUUUCUUUCACCGGAGCUUGCUCCACCGAAAGAAAAAGAGUGGCGAACGGGUGAGUAACACGUGGGUAACCUGCCCAUCAGAAGGGGAUAACACUUGGAAACAGGUGCUAAUACCGUAUAACACUAUUUUCCGCAUGGAAGAAAGUUGAAAGGCGCUUUUGCGUCACUGAUGGAUGGACCCGCGGUGCAUUAGCUAGUUGGUGAGGUAACGGCUCACCAAGGCAACGAUGCAUAGCCGACCUGAGAGGGUGAUCGGCCACACUGGGACUGAGACACGGCCCAGACUCCUACGGGAGGCAGCAGUAGGGAAUCUUCGGCAAUGGACGAAAGUCUGACCGAGCAACGCCGCGUGAGUGAAGAAGGUUUUCGGAUCGUAAAACUCUGUUGUUAGAGAAGAACAAGGAUGAGAGUAAAAUGUUCAUCCCUUGACGGUAUCUAACCAGAAAGCCACGGCUAACUACGUGCCAGCAGCCGCGGUAAUACGUAGGUGGCAAGCGUUGUCCGGAUUUAUUGGGCGUAAAGCGAGCGCAGGCGGUUUCUUAAGUCUGAUGUGAAAGCCCCCGGCUCAACCGGGGAGGGUCAUUGGAAACUGGGAGACUUGAGUGCAGAAGAGGAGAGUGGAAUUCCAUGUGUAGCGGUGAAAUGCGUAGAUAUAUGGAGGAACACCAGUGGCGAAGGCGGCUCUCUGGUCUGUAACUGACGCUGAGGCUCGAAAGCGUGGGGAGCGAACAGGAUUAGAUACCCUGGUAGUCCACGCCGUAAACGAUGAGUGCUAAGUGUUGGAGGGUUUCCGCCCUUCAGUGCUGCAGCAAACGCAUUAAGCACUCCGCCUGGGGAGUACGACCGCAAGGUUGAAACUCAAAGGAAUUGACGGGGGCCCGCACAAGCGGUGGAGCAUGUGGUUUAAUUCGAAGCAACGCGAAGAACCUUACCAGGUCUUGACAUCCUUUGACCACUCUAGAGAUAGAGCUUCCCCUUCGGGGGCAAAGUGACAGGUGGUGCAUGGUUGUCGUCAGCUCGUGUCGUGAGAUGU